UACAGAGGUGGCAAGCGUUGUUCGGAAUUACUGGGCGUAAAGGGCGCGUAGGCGGUCUUGUCAGUCCCUUUGUGAAAUCCCCCGGCUCAACUGGGGAACUGCGUUUUGAAACUACAAGGCUAGAGUGUGGCAGAGGGGGGGUGGAAUUCCACGUGUAGCAGUGGAAAUGACGUAGAGAUGUGGAGGAACACCGAUGGCGAAGGCAGCCCCCUGGGUUAACACCUGGACGCUCAGGCA
rnacentral:rRNA from 1 species